UAAACCCUUUCAUUUUCAUUAUGAGGUUGAUAAGUUAAAAUAAAACCUCUCUCUCUCUCUCUCUCUCUGAUUGCUGCAUUGGAAUUGCAUCAAGGCUUUCGCUUUUCUAAAUUGAAUCAUUCAGAGUGUCAUAUCAAGAAGAAUCGGCAAUCGAUUACAAGCAAUUUGAUGUGUGAGGGGUAUUUUUUAUGGCCUACUGUGAUGGGCUGAAAUUGUUGUUGGCGGCUGGCAUUUGGUGUUCUGCGUAUAUCGCCGUUGCAGUUCUUGCUUCCUGUCGAAUCUUUUACUUUGUCUGCGGAUGCUCACUUUGAUCAGGGUUUGUGGAGCUGCGAUGGGUUGUUGAUGAUCAACUGGUUAUUGGCCCACUAGAAUGUGUACAGAACGUUUUGGUUCAAAUUUGACAACGGCCUACACUAUGGAGAAUAGAUUAGGGACUGUGAUCCAUAGGAUGAUGACUAGACCAUUAAAGGUUGCUAGUGUGAGAAUGUACAAAUUUGUCACAUUAUAUUGCAAAAUCAUUGGUGCACUUGGUGCAAAUUGUUAAAUGAAAAUGAGUUCUGAACUUCUGAGUA